rnacentral:rRNA from 1 species
GAUGAACGCUGGCGGCGUGCCUAAUACAUGCAAGUCGAACGCUGGAGAUCUAGCUUGCUAGAUCGAAGGAGUGGCGAACGGGUGAGUAAUACAUAAGCAACCUACCCACGAAGACUGGGAUAAUCUCUGGAAACGGGGACUAAUACCGGAUAGGUAAUCGGAAGGCAUCUUCUGGUUAUUAAAGGUUAAAAACACUGGUGGAUGGGCUUAUGGCGCAUUAGUUAGUUGGUGAGGUAACGGCCCACCAAGACGAUGAUGCGUAGCCGGCCUGAGAGGGUGAACGGCCACAUUGGGACUGAGACACGGCCCAGACUCCUACGGGAGGCAGCAGUAGGGAAUUUUCGGCAAUGGGGGCAACCCUGACCGAGCAACGCCGCGUGAGUGAAGACGGCCUUCGGGGUGUAAAGCUCUGUUGUAAGGGAAGAACGGUAGAUAGAGAAUAUUUAAGUGACGGUACCUUACCAGAAAGCCACGGCUAACUACGUG